GAAAUGCGAUACUUGGUGUGAAUUGCAGAAUUCAGUGAAUCAUCAAAUCUUUGAACGCAAAUUGCGCUCUCGGGAUAUGCCUGAGAGCACGCCUCUUUGAGUAUCGUUUCAACCCCAAUUCGGCGGCUUGCUUGCAAGUGCAGCUGGACAGUGAGUGAUUUUCACGUCUCGAGAACAACCUUGCUGGACGUGACACUUGAAAUGAAGUUUGAAACCCCGACUGAGUGAGUCCGGAAUCGGGAGGUGCCAAAUUCAUUUUUGGCUCAGCCUCGUGCGAAGUUUCCGUUUUUCCCAAUUAAAACGGCAAUACUGAAUGCACUUGCUAGCGAUGUGGAUAAAUCCAAUACAUGGCUAGUCUUGAGCGAUCAGCAAUUGCUUUGGGUG
rnacentral:misc_RNA from 1 species